GCAGGGACAGCAGGAGAUUAGACAAAUGAUACAAAGGAAUCCUGCAACUACUCAACCAGAGGUCGUGACUGAUCCUCCAAAUGCAGAGGUUAAUGGACCGGGGCCUGUCCCGAUCCCACAUAACAACCUUGAUCAACAACCCAUCCACGAUGAUCAAGAUGAUCAGUUCUUGCUGCCAGAAGACUUUGGCAUGGGCCAUGGCAUGGAUCCCAUGUUCAGGAGAUUAGAGGAGAGGCUGA
rnacentral:lncRNA from 1 species